rnacentral:lncRNA from 1 species
UGAAGUUUGAUUAUCUAACAAUACUAAAAGCAUGAUAUCAAAUCCUUUAAGCGCGUCCACGUCAGCUGAAAAAAUCAGCCAAUAAGAAAUAGUGUCUUUGCCACAUCACUUAUUUCCGACGACUUGAGUUCAUAUCUUGGGUUUGUACAUUUUGGUUUCUUAUUUGCAUUUACUUUCGACCCACAUCCAUCCCAAUAUUGUGUAACCCUAACUUUGGAGCAAGUUCAUCUCCCCCACUCUUCCACUUCGUCUUCAUCAAUUCGUAUUUUUUUCUAAGCUCCGUGAGCUCUCCAUCAUCAAUGAGUUAUGACCUCUUUAAUGUCUUCUUUAUCAUUUCAUCUCUCUUUCUUCACGUAUAUAGAUUGCUAACCGGUUCGUCAAGAUUUACUUCCAAACAAUCUCCGAAAACCUCCGUCA